rnacentral:rRNA from 1 species
GACGAACGCUGGCGGCGUGCUUAACACAUGCAAGUCGAACGGAAAGGCCCUGCUUUUGUGGGGUGCUCGAGUGGCGAACGGGUGAGUAACACGUGAGUAACCUGCCCUUGACUUUGGGAUAACUUCAGGAAACUGGGGCUAAUACCGGAUAGGAGCUCCUGCUGCAUGGUGGGGGUUGGAAAGUUUCGGCGGUUGGGGAUGGACUCGCGGCUUAUCAGCUUGUUGGUGGGGUAGUGGCUUACCAAGGCUUUGACGGGUAGCCGGCCUGAGAGGGUGACCGGCCACAUUGGGACUGAGAUACGGCCGAGAGUCCUACGGGAGGCAGCAGUGGGGAAUAUUGCACAAUGGGCGGAAGCCUGAUGCAGCAACGCCGCGUGCGGGAUGACGGCCUUCGGGUUGUAAACCGCUUUCGCCUGUGACGAAGCGUGAGUGACGGUAAUGGGUAAAGAAGCACCGGCUAACUACGUG